rnacentral:rRNA from 1 species
AGUUUUCUGCCACCGAAUACAUUAGCAUGGGAUAAUGGAAUAGGACCCUGUCCUCCUAUUUUCAGUUGGUUUUGGCAGCGCGAGGACUAGGGUAAUGAUUAAUAGGGAUAGUUGGGGGCAUUAAUAUUUAAUUGUCAGAGGUGAAAUUCUUGGAUUUAUGAAAGAUUAACUUCUGCGAAAGCAUCUGCCAAGGAUGUUUUCAUUAAUCAAGAACGAAAGUUAGGGGAUCGAAGACGAUCAGAUACCGUCGUAGUCUUAACCAUAAACGAUGCCGACCAGCGAUUAGGAGACGUUGAAUACAAAACACCACCAUCGGUGCGGUCGUCCUUGGCGUCUCGGUUUCGGCCGGGGUGCGGGGACGGCUUAGCCCGGUGGCACCGGUGAAUGACUCCCUAGCAGCUUGUGAGA